AAGGUGAUUGCUUAAUAGGGUAGAACGCUUGAUUGUAGAUCAAGCGGGUGAGGGUUUAAGUCCCUUUCAUCCUACUA
rnacentral:tRNA from 1 species